rnacentral:rRNA from 1 species
UCCUACGGGUGGCAGCAGGUAAGAAUAUUCCGCAAUGGGGGGAACCCUGACGGAGCGACGCCGCGUGAACGAAGAAGGCCGGAAGGUUGUAAAGUUCUUUUCUGUCCGAGGAAUAAGUGUAGGAGGAAAUGCCUGCAUGGUGACGGUAGGGCAGGAAUAAGCACCGGCUAAUUACGUGCCAGCAGCCGCGGUAACACGUAAGGUGCGAGCGUUGUUCGGAAUUAUUGGGCGUAAAGGGCAUGCAGGCGGGUCGCCAAGCUUGGUAAGAAAUACCGGGGCUCAACUCCGGAGCUAUAUUGAGAACUGGCGAGCUGAAGUUGCCGAAGGGUAUCCGGAAUUCCGCGUGAAGGGGUGAAAUCUGUAGAUAUGCGGAAGAACACCGAUGGCGAAGGCAGGAUACCGGCGGACGACUGACGCUGAGGUGCGAAGGUGCGGGGAGCAAACAGGAUUAGGUACCCUGGUAGUCCGCACAGUCAACGAUGUACACUGGGCGUGUGCGCAAGAGCGUGCGUGCCGAAGCAAACGCGAUAAGUGUACCGCCUGGGGAGUAUGCCCGCAAGGGUGAAACUCAAAUGAAUUGACGGA